rnacentral:sRNA from 1 species
GGUAUUAUGUUAAAGAUAAAAAAAAUUGCACAUUCAUUGCUUCAUAUUUAGAGAAAAAGUAAGUGUAAGACUAAUUGUGGAACUAAAUUUUAAGUAUUACUUAUAAUAUUAUCAGGUUGAUGCAUAUUCAUAUAUGAAAGCAGGUCUUUGGUGUGUAUUACAUGAUAGCGAAUCAGAAGCAGAUGAAAUCUUGAAGACAGGUUGUAGAAGUGUGGGAGACCUCAGUGGAGAAUUACGUUUAUUAUGUGCCAAAGACGUGUAUUGUACAACUGCUUCAAAGUUUUGCCGUGAUUUUAUUUUUCAUUUUUGUGUUGUUAUUCAUGCAUAUUACUGGAAUUGUAUAGGAAAUGCCUUUCUCACAUGAUAGCACCACCAAGCUUUUUUGUUUUUAUUUUCAAUUAGAAAUCAGUAGGAACAAUGAAUGUUUAUUAGAUUAACAUAGCAAAAUCCCCCUAAAAACAUCAUUUUUAUUUCUCAUUGUGUGUAGUAUCUACAACAUGUGGAAAAGAUGAAAUUCGCUACCUUUUAUUUAACAAAGGUGAAUUUGACUUAUUUAGCCAUGAUAAUCAUGGCUUAUUUCACAGCUUUGUCUUUGGUCAGAGGCUUUGUGGUCACUUUAUCUUUCAAGACCAUAUGUUUGUACCCCUGUACCCUCCCCAAGUGUCCUGAUAUUCUUUGGGCAGGAGGAGGGGCCAUGGUAGGGUGUGAAUCCAGCCCCUAGUAAUGCUUGCUCUCACGUAUAGGAUUUCAUAUAACAUAUAUGUAUUUGGAAUUGGGCUCCGAGUCUUGUUGUAUCUUUGCAAGAACAUUUCUUAAUUUUUACAUUGCAUGUGCAUAUAUGAUAUGAGAGCAUGAUAUAUAUAAUUUUUAAUUAUAAGUAAAUUUUAAAAAAUGAGUAAUCUUUCAGAUUGAAUGAUGUAAAGAUGUGCAUAGAAUUUCCUCAAGUUUAACAUUGAAAUUGAGUAAGAAUUAUUUUUUUAAAACCAUGUGGCAUAGUAUCAUAUCUUGCACGUAUCGGACAAGAAUUUAAGGUCAGUUGCUGAAAAAAUUUGAACAUGGCUGCAAGUUUCUAUUUUAUUAAUAAAGCCUAGCUAUUUCAAAAGUACCUGUUUUGAGAUGUCACCCUUCUAUUUUCCUGGUUUUAAAAAAUCCCUGAAAUGUCAUGGCAUGAAAAUAAGCCAGCUUAAGAAACACUGAAAACAGUGGAAACGUUUAAUUGUUCUCUCUUGAUCACACUUUUUAGGAAUCAACGAGGUUAAUGAUAGAUUUUGGUUACCGGUACUUACUAUAUCAGUUAUAUUUCAAAAAAGUUAAAAAGAACCAUAUUUAACUGUUGUGUUUUAAAGAACACAUAUGAUGUGAAUGGUUACUAAAGUAUUUAAAUCAUGAAUAUGCUCUCACAUUUAGUAAAGGUUUUCAUUGUGCAUAUAACUACAUGAUUUAGUUUUAAGAUUUGAAACUCAUUUCCAUUAGAGUAUUUUAGUAUUAUUUCAAAGUUAAGUGUACUACUUCUGUAGUAGAACUUGACGUAUUAUUUUGAAUAAAAGCACAUUUUAUAU